rnacentral:rRNA from 1 species
CCUACGGGGGGCUGCAGUGGGGAAUAUUGCACAAUGGGGGAAACCCUGAUGCAGCGACGCCGCGUGAAGGAAGAAGGUUUUCGGAUCGUAAACUUCUCUCAUCAGGGAAGAAGGAAGUGACAGUACCUGACUAAGAAGCCCCGGCUAACUACGUGCCAGCAGCCGCGGUAAUGCGUAGGGGGCAAGCGUUAUCCGGAAUCACUGGGUGUAUAGGGUGCGUAGGCGGUAGGGCAAGUCAGAUGUGAAAGCCCGGGGGUCGACCCCGGGAGUGCAGUUGAACUUGUCUUACUAGCGUGCAGAAGAGGGAAGCGGAACUCCUAGUGUAGCGAUGAAAUGCGUCGAUAUUAGGAAGAACAACAGUGGCGAAGGCGGCUUUCUAGACUGUAACUGCCGCUGAGGCACGAAAGCGUGGAGAGAGAACAGGAUUAGAUACCCUAGUAGUC